AAUGGGGAAACCCAGUGUGAUUCGUCACACUAUCAUUAACUGAAUCCAUAGGUUAAUGAGGCGAACCGGGGGAACUGAAACAUCUAAGUACCCCGAGGAAAAGAAAUCAACCGAGAUUCCCCCAGUAGCGGCGAGCGAACGGGGAGGAGCCCAGAGCCUGAAUCAGCAUGUGUGUUAGUGGAAGCGUCUGGAAAGGCGCGCGAUACAGGGUGACAGCCCCGUACACAAAAGCGCA
rnacentral:rRNA from 1 species